rnacentral:rRNA from 1 species
CGGACGGGUGAGUAACGCGUGGGUAACCUGCCUUAUACAGGGGGAUAACAGUCAGAAAUGGCUGCUAAUACCGCAUAAGCGCACAGAGCUGCAUGGCUCGGUGUGAAAAACUCCGGUGGUAUAAGAUGGACCCGCGUUGGAUUAGCUUGUUGGUGGGUAACGGCCCACCAAGGCGACGAUCCAUAGCCGGCCUGAGAGGGUGAACGGCCACAUUGGGACUGAGACACGGCCCAGACUCCUACGGGAGGCAGCAUG